rnacentral:rRNA from 1 species
UACAGAGGGGGCAAGCGUUAUUCGGAAUUAUUGGGCGUAAAGGGCGCGUAGGCGGCUUGGCAAGUGGAAGGUGAAAUCCCUCGGCUUAACCGAGGAACUGCCCUCCAAACUGCUUUGCUUGAGGCCGGGAGAGGCGAGUGGAAUUCCCAGUGUAGCGGUGAAAUGCGUAGAUAUUGGGAGGAACACCAGUGGCGAAGGCGGCUCGCUGGACCGGUUCUGACGCUGAGGCACGAAAGCCAGGGGAGCGAACGGG